GCAGCUUUUGUUGUCUCCCUCUCACUCCCUCCGCGCACACACAUAAAUGCAAGGCAAUUGCAACAACAACAGAAGCCGCACCAACCACAUAUAAUUGCUGUUCCAAUAACCUCUAACCCGAAGGCACAAAGCAGACAAACAACACACAACACACAAGAGAUAACAACGAGAAAUACAAAUUGUGACUCGUGCCGUGCCACAACAAAACGAACACCGAACAAAUAACCAAAUAUAUUAAACUGUCAAACCAAAUAAUAACCCAAGCCAGUCACACCCACACACACACUCACAAUGGCAGGGACAUGGACAUGGCGAGGCAGAGAGAUGAGAGAAAGAGGCAGCUGUAAUUCGCACAACUGCGCGCAAGGGAGACACACAUAGCAGAAAAGGCAAAGGAGGAACACAAAUAUUUACAGUAAACCCAAGAGAGUAUACCAAGAGAAUAACAGAGAGAGAGGAUCAGCUCUGCCUACGCGACCCGAAAGUUGUUGUUGCUGCUGCCACACAUCUAACCUCAAAUCGCUGCUGUUUUUGCAUAUGCAAAGCGUCAUAAAUGAGGCUGCCGCUGCUGCUGCUGGUGCUGCCUUGGGCGUAAUUACAUCCACAGCCAAAAAUGGUCAAACGAGCGAGAAAAUUAUCACAUUGCAGCCCACUGUGUGUUGUUGUAAUGCCAGCCACAAAAAGACUGAAAUUAAAUGCAAAUUUUUGGCUAACACAAAACAAAAUUUAUACACACACACACAAGAGGUUUCAUAAUCAGGAAAUUUACUAUUUUUCGGUGUCUUGAGCGGAGGAAAUUAAAAUUGUUGCUGCCGAAGAUUUGACAUUUGAUAUGCAAUUUGAAUAAUUUUGCCACUCCACUCCACUCCUCGAAAAUGCCAUACACAUACGAGAAUGUAAGGCAAAACUAGUUCCAACCUCAGCGACAACAGCAAAUGCCACGGACAGCGGGCCUAAUUCCAACAUAGACAUAAAUCAAUGAACGCCAAAGUCGAAGGCAGCCCAGAAAGACAGAAAUCAGGAAGGUAGAAGCCAAUAAAUUGCACAGCAAUAAUGGAAAAUAAUAAUAGAUCGCUGGGCUGCGAGUGCCAGCACGCCUUGGACGUAGAAAUACAGAGAUAAUUGAUUAUAUUAUGCUCUGAUGUAUGCAUAUGAACGUGAUAAUUCCCUGACGAAACUAAGGGUAAACCCAAAUAACCCAACCAGAAAAACACUAAAAUUUAGAUGGACCCCAAGCACAAAUCGAAAUAUUAGCUACUUAUAAAUCAUAUUUCAUAUAUGAAGCUGUGCUUCAUGAAGAAUAAGAGAUUGAAUAAAGACCGUACUGAUCUGUCACUUUA
rnacentral:sRNA from 15 species